rnacentral:rRNA from 1 species
UACGAGGGGGGCGAGCGUUGUUCGGAAUUAUUGGGCGUAAAGGGUGCGUAGGCGGUUCCGCAAGUCCUGUGUGAAAUCUUCGGGCUCAACUCGAAGUCUGCACGGGAAACUGCGGGGCUUGAGUGUGGGAGAGGUGAGUGGAAUUCCCGGUGUAGCGGUGAAAUGCGUAGAUAUCGGAAGGAACACCUGUGGCGAAAGCGGCUCACUGGACCAUUACUGACGCUGAGGCACGAAAGCUAGGGAGCAAACAGG